GAUGAACGCUGGCGGCGUGCCUAAUACAUGCAAGUCGAGCGAACGGACGAGAAGCUUGCUUCUCUGAUGUUAGCGGCGGACGGGUGAGUAACACGUGGAUAACCUACCUAUAAGACUGGGAUAACUUCGGGAAACCGGAGCUAAUACCGGAUAAUAUUUUGAACCGCAUGGUUCAAAAGUGAAAGACGGUCUUGCUGUCACUUAUAGAUGGAUCCGCGCUGCAUUAGCUAGUUGGUAAGGUAACGGCUUACCAAGGCAACGAUGCAUAGCCGACCUGAGAGGGGGAUCGGCCACACUGGAACUGAGACACGGUCCAGACUCCGACGGGAGGCAGCAGUAGGGAAUCUUCCGCGAUGGGCGAAAGCCUGACGGAGCAACGCCGCGUGAGUGAUGAAGGUCUUCGGAUCGUAAAACGCUGUUAUUAGGGAAGAACAUAUGUGUAAGUAACUGUGCACAUCUUGACGGUACCUAAUCAGAAAGCCACGGCUAACUACGU
rnacentral:rRNA from 1 species